rnacentral:rRNA from 1 species
UACGGAGGAUGCGAGCGUUAUCCGGAUUUAUUGGGUUUAAAGGGUGCGUAGGCGGACUGUCAAGUCAGCGGUAAAAUUGAGAGGCUCAACCUCUUCCCGCCGUUGAAACUGGUGGUCUCGAGUGCAGGAGAGGAGAAUGGAAUUCCUAGUGUAGCGGUGAAAUGCGUAGAGAUUAGGAAGAACACCAGUGGCGAAGGCGAUUCUCUGGACUGUAACUGACGCUGAGGCUCGAAAGCGUGGGGAGCAAACAGG